rnacentral:rRNA from 1 species
AACGAACGCUGGCGGCAUGCCUAACACAUGCAAGUCGAACGAGACCUUCGGGUCUAGUGGCGCACGGGUGCGUAACGCGUGGGAACCUGCCCUUAGGUUCGGAAUAACUCCCCGAAAGGGGUGCUAAUACCGGAUAAUGUCUUCGGACCAAAGAUUUAUCGCCUUUGGAUGGGCCCGCGUUGGAUUAGCUAGUUGGUAGGGUAAAAGCCUACCAAGGCGACGAUCCAUAGCUGGUCUGAGAGGAUGAUCAGCCACACUGGGACUGAGACACGGCCCAGACUCCUACGGGAGGAAGCAGUGGGGAAUAUUGGACAAUGGGCGAAAGCCUGAUCCAGCAAUGCCGCGUGAGUGAUGAAGGCCUUAGGGUUGUAAAGCUCUUUUACCCGGGAGGAUAAUGACAGUAACGGGAGAAUAAGCUCCGGCUAACUCCGUG